AGAGCUGAGGUGUGUGUGUUUGGGAGAGAGAGAGAGAGAGAGAGAGGGAGAGGUGGUUAGCCGUGCCUGGGUGGGAUUCCUCUAUUGCGCCUAAGACAGGCGAAGUUGUAGCCAGCAGCUGGCGCUAAAACAGACCGAGGUGAGCGUCGCUCCCAAAAAUUCCAGAAGCGGAGAGUUUUCGACCUUGGUGAUUUUGGACAGCACUCAGUCUGGGAUUGUAUCGUCACCGCUCGUCCUGCCGAAGACGAAGAGCUGCUCGAGCUUCGUUUCCUUCAUCCUCAUCACCGCUCAUCAUCCUCCACCUGCUCCCCGCAUGUUCACAGCAGCGUGUUCCUGCGUUACAGCUCCUCCGGGGAGGACUCGGUUCAUCCACGUCCACCCACUGACCGCUCAGGCUGCUGUGAUUGUGGAUCUAAAGGGUCUUUUCCUCGUCUUCAGAAGCUUCACUGGGGUCGUACUGGGAUUUUAAGGUGGGGUUUGUUCCGGAGACUCAAGUGCAGCUGGAAAACAAACCUCCUCCUUCUCACCUUUCUCACAUCCUUUCCUCCCUCCCUCCCUUGCCUCCUCCAACCCCUCUCGCCGCUCUCUCGCUCGGUUUCUUGUUGAUGACACUUGGGCUGCAGAUUGUUGUCGCCUCAUCACGUCCCUGUUAGAUUUCUCAGCUACAGCUCAGACUAAUGGGACCUGGAUGUGUUGCGGUUCUUUACGGUUGAAUUAGGAACCGACGGAACUCUCGCCGUCAGCAAGAGAGAGCGGAGGUAGAGAGAGAGAGAGAGUAAGGAGCCGCUGUGAAUAUUUAAACAUAUGCCCUGGUGGAGGAGCGCGUGGACAGCUGCAAUGAGGGGGAAAAGAAGCAGCAGCAGCAGCAGCAGUGAGGCUUCGACAUCAGCAUCGUUAGUGUCACUUUUGGUGGUGCACAAUUUUGUUGCUUUGCCCGAAAAGUCUGUUGGCACCUCAGGCCAUAUUUAGGACGUGGACUGCUUCAUGGAAAGUCGUGGAGUAAAUCACUGCAUCUGGUCCCAUUAGAUUAUGACCAUUUCAUUGGAGUUCUCACGGUGCCUUCGACUCGGCAUACAUUAAACCCCGUGGUCCGUGUUUGAAGAUGGUUUGUUGGUGGGUGAGAGAAGUUUCUUCACAGCCUGCUGCAUAGAGACAGAGUGAAAACCCUGUGCGGGACUUUACUGAAGAUAAUUACAACAGCCACAGCCAGUUUCCAGCUUCUGAUCGCAAGACCUAAAGACAGUGAAUCAUUUAACCUGACCGGUGUGGUGACAUCGACGAAGAUGAGACGGAGCUCUGAUUAACUAAUCACUACAUCUCGUUGUUGACAGUGGGAGUUAACGAACAAGCAUUGGUCUACGUGAUUCAGGGUUGAUGAUCGCACAAAAAGGAGUUCCUUUCCAGCUGCAGCCAGAUUCCUCUGAAGCUGAACGUGUGAAAAGAAUUCAAAAUAUCACAGCAUUCUGGUGGCGUCGCCGAGCCUGAUCACAAGGACACUCAUGUGAGACGGACAAUGGAGACCAGGGCUUGAUAUCUGGUGAGUUGGUUGUAUUUAUUUAUUUGCGCCCGGGUGUUGACUGAUGCUGCUGGUACAGUGGAGUGGUAGUUCAACUUUAAGUGCCCUCUGUGGUGUUAGCAGUGGUACAGCAGCAGACAUGGAGACCAGGGCUACGUUUGUAGCUGUAACCGCAGGGAGUUCAUUAGAGAAAAACAAACCUACAGGUGCAGAGAAAAAACUGGGUCAAAUCCACGAACGCUGCUUCCCUUUGUACACAGUCUAAACAGCCACAUUUAGAUGGGAUUUGUGAACACAGCCUUUUUCAUUUGUUUCUGUUAGUAGUAGAGAGACUGUUUGUGAAUGAGGAGUGGUCUGUAAAUGUACGCACCGCCAAAUACUUUGACCGUAAGUCGCUUAUACAGUUUGGGCCAUUUUUAUCCAGUACACAAAAGGUCAUCUAGGAAUGAGUGGCUGGAAAAGGAAGUCCUCAAAGUCUCCAGAGAAUCUGAGUGGGCGAUGGAGCCUCAUCUCUCCUGUGCCACAAAGAGGAAAGUGGUGGGAGGUUGUCUAAGGCAGGCUGGACCCAGAUUUUCUGAUUUGUUGAAGCAGAAAAGUUUUUUUUUCUGGCCUUCAGAACGGCUUCUUCAGACAGAAAUCGGCUUUAAAGAAAGGUGCAGCGCUUUCCUGCUAGCAGUUGUCCUGUGUUCUCAGAGUUGAUUUUUAUCUGGAAAAUUCCACAGCUCUACAUUCUGCACUUGGUAUGAACUGUGCUGUACCUGUACUCUUCCUGUGUCGGUUUUGUUAACUCCACUGGAGGACUGCAGUGAAGGAGGAAUACAAAGGAGCGACUGUUGUCUUUAUUUGGCCUGUAUCUCUGACCCCUGCAUGUCCGACCACUGUGGUUUGUGUGGUCAGCAAGAAAUCCCCCAGGCCUGACAACAAAAACAAAACAAAAAAAAACAUUGUGAUGCUUUCUA